UUUAGCUCCCCUGCUUAUAAGCACAAGAGGACUAUGCGUUUGGUUAGCUGACUUAUGCUCAGCUUAUUCGAAAAGCCACUACAGCUUCUCUCGAAAAGGAGAAGCUGCCUGACCCCAGCUUUCAGAAGCCAGAAGCCAGCAGCUUACUGUAGCGGUACUUACUGUAGCUAAAUGAAUGUUUCAAAAUGACAGAUUCUAUCCUCCCUUGGGAGAGGCAAUUACGGAUUGCCAUCAAGCCUUCGAGAUGAGAUCAGAGGCCGCACAACAUUUUCAUCUCUAUCCCAUCUCCACUCUCCCUCUGACGCCGCCGGGCUCUCAUCACAGACGCCGCCUCACUCUCCCUCUGACGCCGCCUCCCUCUCCCUCUGACGCCGCCUCAGCCUCUCAUCACGAAAACCCCAAGCACAGAGCAAUCGAGCCAAACACCAUCACAUCAUGACCUGAACCCACAUCCUCCCCCAAUUUUAGAUCGGGAAGCCAGCUUUUCUUCAUCCUCUCUUUACUACAGAACGCAUCCUGGUUUCCCAGCACAGGAAGCUAGCUAGCAGGUAGCAGAAAAAGAGAUCAGAUCAGAAAAGUGGUGCAGGUCUCAUAUUAUAGCUAGUAAAGGCUUGCAAUAAAUUGGGGUGCUCAAAUGGUGAUGAAGAAGAAGACAAGGAAGUUGGUUGGAAAUACCUUCAUGGUGAUGUUUUCAGACAACCUUCAAACAUACCACUGUUUUGUGCCGUCUUGUUCAAGAUCCAAAGACACCGAUCUGGAAAACCUCGGAAAGGAUGUUAUUCAUCAUUCUUGAAUUAUUGAUAUGGAUUUUGAAAUACCAAAGUUUUGUACAGAUACUUGAUUAGAUUCAAGCAGAUCCUAUUUUUUCAUUAGUCCAUUUGAUCAGAGAG